rnacentral:lncRNA from 1 species
AAUAUUAAAAAAUAAAAUUGCAUAAAAUGGAGGGGAAACAUCAGUUCAUAUAAAAUCUAAAGUUGAUCGCUGUUUAUUAAAAAAGCAAGAAGAAUUUGCUUAUCAUACAAGUAGUAGACAGCAAAGGGAUCGGGCCCCAACAAGGAAAAUACUGAUUGUUUUCAACGAGAAAAGGCCAGCAAAAAGAGGAGAGCCAUAAUCAAAACCGGAACAAGGAGAAGCAUCAAAGGCGGCGGCGGCAAUGGUGGCAGCAGCAGGGGCAACAGUAAAAGUGACACCGUCAACACAACCAGAAUCAUAAUUGAUCUAACUGCAAAUAACCCUUUCAUCAAAUUCGACAGCAGCCGUUGAAUUAGCUCACGUGUUGUGGUUUGAUGUUCUGUUAAUUUAUAUUGAAAUUGAACGUUCGGGUUGCAACAUAGAUUUUAAGUAUAUCACCGUAU